GAUGAACGCUGGCGGCGUGCCUAAUACAUGCAAGUCGAGCGAACAGACGAGGAGCUUGCUCCUCUGACGUUAGCGGCGGACGGGUGAGUAACACGUGGAUAACCUACCUAUAAGACUGGGAUAAAUUCGGGAAACCGGAGCUAAUACCGGAUAACAUGUUGAACCGCAUGGUUCAACAGUGAAAGACGGUUUUGCUGUCACUUAUAGAUGGAUCCGCGCCGCAUUAGCUAGUUGGUAAGGUAACGGCUUACCAAGGCAACGAUGCGUAGCCGACCUGAGAGGGUGAUCGGCCACACUGGAACUGAGACACGGUCCAGACUCCUACGGGAGGCAGCAGUAGGGAAUCUUCCGCAAUGGGCGAAAGCCUGACGGAGCAACGCCGCGUGAGUGAAGAAGGUCUUCGGAUCGUAAAACUCUGUUAUUAGGGAAGAACAAAUGUGUAAGUAACUAUGCACGUCUUGACGGUACCUAAUCAGAAAGCCACGGCUAACUACGUG
rnacentral:rRNA from 1 species